rnacentral:rRNA from 1 species
AUGGGUGGAUCGCUCAGAUCGCACGAUCCAAGAACCUCUUUGGCAGGGGUGUCGGGCAGAAGGGCGACAGAGGCGGGAUCGCGCGAUGAUCACGGCUCCCCGGCGAUGCCUGAGAUCGGGCGGGGCCAGGGGAAGUUCACGCAAUGGCGUGUUCGUUUCUGCGCCGAGACGGAUCUUGGGAAUUGGAUUGAAGGCCGUGUCCGUUUUACUCCACAGUCAUGCUGGCUAGCUCUCUUCGAUUUGGAGAAUGAUGUCGUUGCCGGCGUCUACUUGCAGGACGGCGACUCGAUCGAGGUAGGGCGUCGUCUCAAGAUUGAUGGAUUUGACGUGCUGGUUGAUGAAUGUGUGCAGGUGGAUCUUUGUCCGAAGAAACCGGAGCUGAUUGAUCUGACGGAAACGAUGCUUCAAGGAAAACCGGGAGGGCGAUUUUGGGCUCUUAUUGACAGCGACGAUGAGGAUCAAGGGGAAGAUCACAGCUUCUCACGUACUGCGGAUGAGGUGAUCGACCUGCGAUGGCACACGCAGGAGAGUAAUGGGCGUAGCAGGCUACAAUUGGACAAAUGUCGGUUCACGUACGGGGAAUUGGAGGUCAUAACCAACGAUUUCCAACAAGUACUCGGCCAAGGAGGGUUUGGGUCUGUAUAUGACGGCUUCUUAGAUGAUGGUAGAGAUGGCAGCGAUGGAUGUUUAACAUGGAGACAGAGGCUCUGCAUUGCAAUAGAAUCCGCGCAAGGGCUCGAAUAUCUGCACAAGGCGUGUAACCCUCCUUUCGUAUACCGGGACGUGAAGACGUCCAACAUCCUAGUGGACGAAAAUCUGAAGGCCAAGGUUGCUGGUUUUGGCUUGCUGAAGGCUUUCAAUCACGACAAUGAUACCCACGUAUCCACGGACAGAACGGGUAGCACAUAUGGCCACAUUGCCCCUGAGUAUGAUGUUUACAGCUUUGGCAUCCUUCUACUGGAAGUGAUCACGGGGCAGCCUCCCAUCCUGCAAUGCCCAGAGCCGACCAGCAUCAUCCAAUGGACGCAACAGCGUCUUGCGCGUGGCGACAUAGAAGGUGUGGUGGACACUCGCAUGCGAGAAGAGUAUGACAUCAAUGGCGUGUGGAAGGCCGCGAACCUUGCACUCAAGUGCUCUCUGCAAGCUCCCGUGCAGCGGCCGACCAUGAUAGACGUGGUGGUGCAACUGCAAGAGUGCCUGAAGCUUGAGGAGAACCGCACGACUAGCGACACGAAUGGCUGCUUCUACACCGUCAGGGGUGGCAAUCCCAAGUCAGUUGAUUGUAUGUACGCCACCGAUGGUCAGUCCAUCGAUGUCGCCCAGGGCAGCACAACAUUCGAGAUGGAGCAUAAUUUUGGCAACGGUCCUGCUGCACGAUGA